rnacentral:rRNA from 1 species
UACAGAGGGGGCGAGCGUUAUUCGGAAUUAUUGGGCGUAAAGGGCGCGUAGGCGGCUUUUCAAGUGACGGGUGAAAUCCCUCGGCUUAACCGAGGAACUGCCUGUCAGACUGGAAGGCUUGAGACCGGGAGAGGUGAGUGGAAUUCCCAGUGUAGCGGUGAAAUGCGUAGAUAUUGGGAGGAACACCAGUGGCGAAGGCGGGUUGCUGGCCCGAAACUGACGCUGAGGCACGAAAGCGUGGGUAGCGAACGAGG